UACCGGAUAACAUUUUGAACCGCAUGGUUCGAAAUUGAAAGGCGGCUUCGGCUGUCACUUAUGGAUGGACCCGCGUCGCAUUAGCUAGUUGGUGAGGUAACGGCUCACCAAGGCAACGAUGCGUAGCCGACCUGAGAGGGUGAUCGGCCACACUGGGACUGAGACACGGCCCAGACUCCUACGGGAGGCAGCAGUAGGGAAUCUUCCGCAAUGGACGAAAGUCUGACGGAGCAACGCCGCGUGAGUGAUGAAGGCUUUCGGGUCGUAAAACUCUGUUGUUAGGGAAGAACAAGUGCUAGUUGAAUAAGCUGGCACCUUGACGGUACCUAACCAGAAAGCCACGGCUAACUACGUGCCAGCAGCCGCGGUAAUACGUAGGUGGCAAGCGUUAUCCGGAAUUAUUGGGCGUAAAGCGCGCGCAGGUGGUUUCUUAAGUCUGAUGUGAAAGCCCACGGCUCAACCGUGGAGGGUCAUUGGAAACUGGGAGACUUGAGUGCAGAAGAGGAAAGUGGAAUUCCAUGUGU
rnacentral:rRNA from 2 species